rnacentral:lncRNA from 1 species
UGUGGAUACCUAUUGUAAGGUGCCGAACUUCUGAAGUUAUGAAGUUACGAUAGAAUAUGAUGUAUCGAAUUUUAAUAUAAAAGUAGAAAUAAAUAAAAAUAGUGUAAGAUACUAUUUUUUUUAGAUUUAGAGAAGUAAAAUAUAAGUCGGAAAUGACUUAUGCUGAAAUCGGAAUGAAAACAGAAGAUUUAGAAUUUUCUGUGAGAAACGGAGCUGAUAUUGUCACGCCCCGAGCCCGAUC